rnacentral:lncRNA from 1 species
GACCGAGCUUCUAUAAUAAGCGGCCUCCUUUCAGCCUUCUACAAGAAUCGGACUCCGUUCGAACUUCCAUAGUGGAUGGAUUCCGGACGAGCUUCUAUAACAGACGGACUCCAGCAGCUGGAUUUCUACAAUGGCAGAUCACCUCUGAUGUCUGUCAAACCUCUCCAGCCAUCAACCUUUAAUAGCGUCAGCCGGACUUCA